CCUACGGGUCGCACCAGUGGGGAAUAUUGCACAAUGGGCGCAAGCCUGAUGCAGCCAUGCCGCGUGUGUGAAGAAGGCCUUCGGGUUGUAAAGCACUUUCAGCGGGGAGGAAGGCGUUAAGGUUAAUAACCUUAGCGAUUGACGUUACCCGCAGAAGAAGCACCGGCUAACUCCGUGCCAGCAGCCGCGGUAAUACGGAGGGUGCAAGCGUUAAUCGGAAUUACUGGCGUAAUGCGCACGCAGGCGGUCUGUCAAGUCGGAGGUGAAAUCCCCGGGCUCAACCUGGGAACUGCAUUCGAAACUGGCAGGCUAGAGUCUUGUAGAGGGGGGUAGAAUUCCAGGUGUAGCGGUGAAAUGCGUAGAGAUCUGGAGGAAUACCGGUGGCGAAGGCGGCCCCCUGGACAAAGACUGACGCUCAGGUGCGAAAGCGUGGGGAGCAAACAGGAUUAGAUACCCUCGUAG
rnacentral:rRNA from 1 species